GGGCGCCGUCCGAGGGAGAUCUAUUAUAAACCCAAAACCCCAAAAGCGCCGUCUCUCUCUCUCUCUGCUCCCAUUCCAAUCCAUGGCGGCCACUGCGUGACACAGAUAGUCUACCUGCCCGAGCGACUCCGCGCGUACGAGUACGACCGCGUCUUCAAGAUGAUGCGGCAGACGCACCGCACGCGCAGGCCAAGGAUCUUGCAUUCGCGCGCGCUCGCAUCCUGCUGGAACUGCAGCGAAGAAGCCGUCGCGAGCGCAAGGACCGAAUCUAGGGCCAGAUCUGUGUGGAGAACUUAUUGGGGACAAAGAGCUGGAGCUUGCAGGCAAGGAGAGUCUUGUGGUACUCGACUUGCUUGUUCUUGUAGUGCGAUUCAGUUUCUUGUAGUGGUAGAACUGUGCCCUUUUUGGCUUGUAGAUGUAUUGCGGUACCAUUGAUUGUCCCAUCAUUUAGAUCUGUAUCGUUGGCUUAAAUCAAACUUUUUUUUAGAGCGAAGUGUCUAGUCAAGCGGUAUUUGUGUUGGAUUAAGCAUUGCCAAUAUCAGUUUUGGCAUUAAGUUCGUUGGUAUGGGUGGAGCAUGCUUCUCAUUCUAUAAUACAUGAUGCGCCUCAUAUCUUUUAGAUAAUGUGGGAUAGACUUGCUCUCCAGGGCAUUGUCUAGUCUUCUAUUACUUACUACCUCUGCCCCUCAAAGACUGUCAUUUUAACUUUGUUCUAAGUGAAGCAAUCUUAAGUUUGACUAAGUUUAUAUAAAAGAACUAGCAAUAUUUAUGAUAUCAAAUAAGCAGUAUCAGAUUCAUCAUAAAAUAUUUUUUUUUCAUACUAUAUCUAUAUAGUGUUAUAAAUGCUAAUAAUGUUCUCUAAAAAUUGGUCUAACAUAAGAUAAUUUGACUUAGGACAGCUAGAAUGUCACUCUUUGUUGAACGGGGGUAGUAAUUUUUGUUGGAAAAUUCUAGUAUGGCAGUGCUAACCCGCCCUUCUCUUUGAGGGUUUUAGUUACUAUAUUCGUUUUGGGAUCUUGUCAUAACAGAGUUUAGUUAUACAUUUCUCUCAUGUAUGAGAAUUUCUUCAUUCUGAUUUCCAUGAUCAGUGGCACCUACCCUUCCUGAGCCUACUUUUGCUUCUAUAAGAAUGAACAUGCUUCAUAUUUAUUUUGAUGUGGUAGCGUAACUUCAAGCUGCCUUAAGAUUCUAUGGAUGUAUAACUGAUCAAACUCUUUAUUUGGCAUUACAUUUUUUCUCGAAUGUGCAGGACAGCUGUGUAUCAUUAUACUGAGACUGAGAGGAAGAUAGGAGGAGUCUAAGAAGACUCAUACAAGCUCAGUAGAGCAUGCUUUUACAUAAGUGUCUAGCUGGGAAACAAGGAGCUUGGACCAGCAACCUAAAUGCCACACUACAGAUACACCACAAUUUUGCUUCAUACCUAAUUUCUUGCACAAGAGCAUUAACAUUAGAACUAACAGAGAAUGGCUGAGGAGGAUUCAAGAAAUUCUAUAUCCACUUUGGCUGCUGAAAACAAUGUACUAAAGGCUAAACUGGAAGAGGAUGAAAGUAAGGCAGAGUUUAGUGGAAACAGUGUGCAGAAGAUUUAGAGAAGAGCCAAGGAAACUAAAAGUAAGCUCUGCAACCUGAGUUCAUGGAAGGGUGGCGAAAUUUCAGGCAGGAAGAAGUUUUGUGUGGAACCAGUUUAACCCAAUGAACCAGGAGUAUGGGGUGAUCAUCAAAAUAAAAAAACAUACAAUCAAAAGCAGAAGAAAAACUGAAGGCCCUGUUUUAAGGAGAAAUCAAGAGAUUACUGGGUCACACCAGUUAAGAGACAAUUGAAGGCGUCAAGACUCAAGAACAUGUGCUUCAAGUACAAAAGAGAUACAAAAGCAAUCAAGAAAUAAUUUUCAUAUGCAAGAAAGAAGGCAAUCUGCAAGUAGUUAAAAGCUCAAACGUCUCUUCCUUGUCAUGUAUGUAUUCCAUUUACAGUUGCACAGUAAGCUCAUACUGCACCAUGUAAUCUAUGAUUACUUUUGAUUUAGCAACUGUGUAUAUAUUUUUUUGUUCAUAGUUAAUGGAUAAUGUUGGGUUUAUUAAAUAAACCUGAUUUUUUUACUAACGUGCAUAAACAAAUAGACUAAAUUGUUUUUACUGACCUAGAAUUUAUCAAAAAGACUAAGUCUGGGUAGGCUGUAUGCAUGGUCAAGUUCUUUUGUUAGAAAGGUGCUCCUCACUUGGGGCUUUGUGGUGUAUGUGUUUUGCAAGGUUUGGGGUAUUUCUCGGCCUGCGUGCAAGUUUGUUAAUGCAAUGCUGCAGGGCCAGUCUUUCCCCUGCAGUUUUUUUUUUGAUAUGUGAUUUUUGUGUGUUUGAGAUUUGAGAAAAAAAAUCAUGUUCUGCAAUUAUAGCUUGUAUGUUGUAAAUAUGCACAUCUUUGUGUUCUUAAUUUGCAAUCUCCUAAUUCUUGGUAGACUGCAUGAGUUGAGUUUUUCUUAAAUAUGGACAAAGAAUACUACUGAUGGUAUUUUGGUGAGUAUUCAGUCAUAAGUGUUCAUUAAGGGGCCACCACGUACUCACUCACAGUCCAGGAUAUUGGUAAGAACCUAGCAGGAUUUGUUUCUUCAUUCUUGACCAUCAUCUAUAACAACUUUAUAUCACUUCCAAACUCAUGCUACUGGUAUGGUAGAAAGAAAUAUGAUCUGCAAAGUAAAUAUUGUCUUUAUUCAUAUCGCAUUGCAAUUCAUUCAGAUUUAAAUAACAUUGUCCUUAUUCUUGGUAGGUCACAUCAGUUGUGUUCCUGCUGUAAAUAUGGACAGACAAUAGAGUUGAUGAAAUUUAGGUGAGCACUAUGUUAGUCAUAGGUGCUCACAAAGGACCAUCACACAUACAUGAUUCCCCAUGAAUUUCAAUUGCGCUACUAGAUGGAUAUGAUAGAACACGUGGGUGAGGGUUGUGUGAUUUAUCAUCCACAGUGGCUAGUUUGGUUGCUAAUGUAGAUACUGCAUAAAAAUGGCAAGCAGAUUGCCAUGGUUCUUGGUGCACUGCAUGAAAUACAUGUUGAUGUGCAUAUGGACAGAUAAGAGCAACUCCAAGAGCUUGGCUAUUCUUGUUGUGGAGGCUAUUUUAGAAUUUGCAUAGCAAAAAGUAGGCUCCAACAGAUGUGCUAUCUGGUUUUGUAAAAUAGAAAGUUGGCUAUCCCUUGAUUUUCGGUGGCCAUAUAUAGCCAACCACUAACACUGGCUAAUGGCUAUCUGAUUGUAAAAUAGCAAGGCUGUUGUGGACUUCUUCUUUUUUUAAGAAGUUUUCUAUUUUUGAAAAUAGCUAAACAAUGGAAUUUGGCUACUAAUUUUAGCCAAGCUCUUGGAGUUGCUCUAACAAACUGAUGGAAUCUAUAUGUAUUUUUACCCUAGUUUUGAUCUUUUGGUCCCAUCAAGUCAGAAUGAAGAAGCUUUUUUCAUGACUUGUUACAUAAAAAAACUAAACAUGAUCUUCUGAUUAAAAUGAUGUGAUGUUGUAGUGAGAUCUAUUACAGUGUCCUAAUUCUUAGUAGAUUUUGUCCUAAUUCUUGGUAGGCUGCAUGAGGCACCCUACUGUAAAUAUGGACAUACAGUAAAGUUGAUGGAAUUUAGGUGAGCAUUAUUUUGAGACAGAUGCUCAUAAAGGACCAUCAUACAUUCAAUUUAUAUACUAGAGCUUUAGAAGUAUGGAUGUGAUAGAAUAUGUGGGCUAUGUUUCAUCACUUAUGUGACUGAAUGGCUAUGGAUGUGGUAGAAUGUGGCCUAUGUUUUAUCACUAACUGUGACUGAAUGGCUAUGGAUGUGGUAGAAUAUGUGGACUAUGUUUUUAUCACUUACUGUGGUCGAAUGGCUAGUUUGGUA